CCCUGCUACCUGCUGGCAGAUUGCAGCCUGUGCCCACCAAAAGGAAGGCCCACCUGAUGCCACUCGUUUGCUGGGAAGAUGGUGCUCUGACUUCCCUUCAGGCUUUCUGGAAGAUGCCAGAGAGGACCGUUAGCACAGCAGGAUACUUCCUAGCAGACCCUACACCAUAUCUGUGCUCAGUAAAUACGUCUGCUUGUAUCCCAUCCAUUUCCCUGACACCCAAGACCUGCCACUGCUCACCCCCACAUCAUGUGCCCUUUGGGUCAAGUUGGCUGGGAAUGCACCCAACCCACCUACAUUUGUGUUUGUGCAAAGGUUGUUUUGUCUCUGGCAGGUCCUGAUUCUUUUUCCAUGGUGGUUUUGCACUGCAUUGCAUUGCGUUGCCAUCAUCCUUCCAAGAAAAGCUCUCCAAGUACCUUCUGCAGGUGUCAUAGCACCAUUUCAUAAAUGUCUUUGGGGACAGAUUUGCAAUGCAUUAAGUACAGCUGUCAGCAAGAUGUCCCCACCAUUUUAACGCUAGAGCUGGGUCAGAGCCACCUCCCAGGGAACAGAUGACCUGAAAGGUGUCCUCAAUCUAUCAGAUCCUCCAAAUUAAGCCCUGCAAAAUGAGACCAGUAACGAGGCCAAAGAAGGGACGCAAUGUUGUGCAAAUACUGCAGGCUUAUCUGCUUAUCUGGAUUAUGCAACAGGCCUAGAAGUGCUUCUAUCCUAAGAACUUUUAAAAUGGUCUUCUGAGCUCUCAGGAGGUGUUGCAACACAGUGGCUCACUGCACUCCAAGGUGUGAGGCAUGUUCUGAGGAAAUUCUUGACUUACCUGUUGGCUUCCAGGCAAACUCAGUCAGUGUGUGCUACCCAGCACUUGCUCAUAGCUCAACGUAUGACUUUCCUGCUUCCAGAGAAGCCAGGGAGGAAGCAGAGAUGGUGCCUUGCAGAAAGCGUAAGGGCACAGCCAUGUUGCUGUGCUCUGCUUGUGGCGGAUGGGAGCCAGGAUAAGGCCACAAAGCCAUUCAGCUCUCUGAACUCCUACACUGCUUUUCUAACUUGACCCUGACAGCAGGAACUGAGCAGGACAGCUGUGCCAGGAUGAGUGGAAUCAGGACCCGUAAGCUCCGAAGCGUUAGGGUCAGCAAAGCCAUUUAUGUCAUACGGGAGGGAUGACAAAGGCAGUGACCUACAUGCAGGUCUGUCUGGUUGCACCACAGACAGGGAAAAGGCCACAGUGCAAGAAAUCCUCCUGUGAUGGAAGUGAAGGUGAGCACUACCCUGGGAGCAGAGCUCUUCUCUGGAGAUGAGUUCCCCUAUGCUGAGCUGGAGAGCUUGACUUCCUCAUCUCCUGUCUGGUUUCCAUAUGAUGCUCGAGGUAUGGAUGGCCCCAUACCAAUCUCAGCUCCACCAUACUGGUGAUUUGAGGUGUUUCUCUCAGAGAUCAUAGGUAAUUCAACAGAAAUAUACAGCCAUGACCAGGAGUUAGAGGGUCACAUACCUCUAAUUGGGCUCUGAGAGCCAGGCCAGGUCUUUAUUUCUCACACUAUAUCCAAUGCUCUCUGACUUGGUGGUGAGACCAGUAGAGAUGUUCAGAUGUGCAUUCUCUGUGCUACCCGGGGAGUUUGGGAGCACUCAGAUUUGGGGCAGAGCCCGUUCCCACUGCUCUGCAGGGAGCAGGCAUCUCCACCAGGCUUUUCCAGCAGCAGACACACCAGCAAAGUGCAUCCCACACUGCUGGAGCUGCAAGCAGCAGCACUGCUAUCGGUUGCCUCGUUACUUCCAGUAGAUCCCUGGGCUGGGUGCUCACUGUGUGCUUGCAAGGCUCAGUGUCUAGUGCAUAAGCCCUGGUUAUUCUUGUCCUCCUGGUUUUCUCCCAUUCCCUGCCCUAAUUUCUCCUCUCUGGAGCAGGCUUGCCUCUCCUGAACCCUCAAGCUAAAACUCUUCAUGUCCCCUUCCAACAUUCUUCUUCCCCGGAAGAGCUGCAGACAUACGGACUCCCAUGGGAGCAGAGUCCUCUUGUCCCAUGCACACACUGGAUUAUCUCCCAGCAGAUGCACAGGGGCAGCGAUGGGGACCUGCAGCCCCUUCCCAGUUUGCCUGGCUCUAACUGACAUAUCUCUGGGAGCUCAAACAGAACUCAAAUUGCACAAAUCCCUCUGAAAUACACGCUUGGCACUGGAAGCUCUGAUCGUCCCCGAGCAUAAGCUAAAUAGGAUUUUCUUCAAGUUUACCUUAAUACAAAGACCAGCUGCAUCCUGUCAGGCUGGAGGAGAUCGGCUUUGCGAGCGGAGGAGAAAAGAGUGAGAAAGAAGCAAAUUAAAGUAUUCCUGAGAGGGGAGAGGAUGUGUGAAUCCCUGAUGUGAAAUGGCCUGAAAUGAAAUCGCUGCAACAAGCAGCCUCCACAGAGUGCUUCUAGACUUGUGCUGUUGCCUUUCAUCGACCAAUUUAUUUCACCAAAGGCAAAAAUGCACGUCUGAGUGGACAGGACUCUUUGGCAGGAAUGGUACUGCUCUGUAAGGAGAUGGGAAGGAAAUGGAAGCAAACAGCUCCAAGUGUUUGGAUCCCCUGCCCAAGCCCAGUUCCUUUCCCAAGCUUUUCUCACGUUGGGCUGCCAGGCUGCUCCACGCCAGUGGGUCCUGUGAGCACUGCAGCAGAGCCGAAAGCACAACGAAUGCCAUGCAGAGACUUUGCUGCUUGUGAACUGCUGCUCCCAGGCCUCACUUGGUUUUCCUUUCCUAUCCAUGCAAACAGCCAAGAGUUGGCAGUGGAUGGCAACAGCAGGAGAAGCCACGGAAGCAUCGUCCACACGCACAGCCCAGUACAGCCAAAUGGGCAAACGGCGUGUCAGCAUUUGCAGCUCAUCAGCAAGGAGUUCUGGCUGCUCCCCUGGGUAUGACGCCCCCUCCAUCUCCACUCUCCUCAGAAGCAGCCAGCCCAAGCGGAAUCAUUCUGCCCUUUCACUCAGCAGCAGCACUGGCUUUUGCAAAUUAAGGGCCAGAACAGAGAGGUGAUGAGACAAAAACUCAGCCCAGCUUUCAGACAUAGUUGCUACCCACCGCCUUAAGGGCAGAGAUCCGUACCCUGUGUGUGUGCUGCUGUUGGGACAUGGAGGCAGAGACAGUUCAUUCUGCUUUUUUUUUCCAUUGUGCAUGGGUACACAACGUGGCUCUCAGCCUCCUCUACAAUAAUGCUUUGUUUCCCUCAACCAACACCACUCUGUCAGCGAUGUAAAUAAUUUUAGCACAUCCAAACAGGAAGUGGCUGAGUGUUUGGGUGUCUGAAUCAACAUCCUGGAGGCUGGGCCUUUGCCACCAGUGCAAUAACUAAAUGCAUGAGUCGCCUAUGGAUGGAAGCGCAGGUCUUGGAAAUGGCAGAGCCAGUAAAACUCAGUGCCAGAAUGUGACCGUUGCCAAAUAAUACUGUUGCUUGUCCAGUUUGUGUGGCCGCAGGCUGCUUCAUCUCAGCUUCUCCGUGCUGAUGCAAUCAUGUUUCCUUUCUGCUUGUGGCAUUGGUAUGGAAAGAGUAGAACGGAGGACUGGCACUAUUGCGUUGGUGCGCAGCACUCGAAGGCUCUCAGGGUUGUAAGCUCAAUGGGCCAGUGGGGAAGCCAUGCACAGAAGGGAAGUUCUUCACAGAGAGAGUGUUGAGGUGCUGGAACAGGCUGUCCAGAGAGGCUGUGGAUGCUCCGUGCCUGGAGGUGUUCAUCCAGCUUGGAUGGAGCCCUGGGCAGCCUGGUCUGGUACCAGACCUGGAGGUUGGUGGCCCUACCUGCAGUUGGAACUUGAUGAUCCUUGAGGUCCCUUCCAACCCAAGACAUUCUAUGCUUGCAUGACUUCAGAGCCACCAAUCAGAGCUUCUGAGCUUCCUGGGCCAAUUUUAGGAGAAGGAGUGGGCCCAUCUGCUGGUCCUGCUGGGGAUGCUGCAUGUGGGGUCGCUUCCAGAUCUGGUGAACACCCACGGGAAGCUGUCAUCAGCUGCUUGGCAGAAGCCAAAGGUUCCUACCAAAGUACUUCCCUGAGCCCUCCUGGUUUCCUGUCAAUAGAAAUAGUCGUCUCCUAACUUACACCCAUAAGAUCUUCUACAGGUGUUACUCAUUGCUCUCCUCUUUUAUCUCUCGCGCUGUUGGAGUGUGUUGGAAGGGUUUUUUUCUGGCCCAGGAAGAACACAUUUAUGAGCCAGUGCCCCGAAGCUCCUAUUGUUAGUUAUUUAAUAAGAAAGAAACAAACAGAAGCCCCUCCCCCAAAACAACAAAGCCAAAGAGUAAGCUACAGAGCACACAGCCCCAUUUCAACAAUGCUAUCGUUAAUAAAACACGUGGAGGUUGCAGAGGGAGCAAUGCACUGUGCUGGCAUCGUGUUCUCACCUUGCACAAGUGUGUUUCAGGCAGAGAUGCUGAUCUCACAGGGACACUUCUGCAUCCCGCACCAAGCUGUUGCUUUGAGGCAGGUGUGGAUGGAGUGCUUUGUGAGGCACUGAGAGCAUCAACGCAUGCUCUGCCAUUUCACUGAAGAAAGUGGAAGCAUUUAACGAUGGGCUGGUGUGUAGGAGCAGUGACAUUUCUGCACUGUUAUUCAUCACGACCACGAUGGGCCAUGUUUGUCAAGAUGCCCUGUUUCGGAGAAGGCUCUCACACAUCCACUCUUGUUAUUCGUAACUGAGCAAAAAUGCAAUAUUUAAAAUGCAGCUGGCAAUGGCUUGGAGUCUGAAUCCUGCCUUGUCCUGGUGAAUCUCAGACAGUGAACCUGAGGAGAUGGCAGAUUGGAAGGGAAAACAGUCCGGAUUCGGGAGGGUGAAGUUCCGAUAUCUUGCAGAAUAAAAUUAAAAUCUCAAUUCAGAUCAAAACAGAGCUGUUAUAUCUCACGGGGGAAAACCUCCCAGUGUUUUCCACCAACUCAAGUAUCACUAUUAACAGAGAGUGACUUUUCUCACAGUGAAUGUGGUGUUGGUGGAAAUGCCAGAGGCGGCUGUAGGAAAUAGGACAUGACUUUUUGCUCUGAAUAAAAAUGUUUGGGGGCCGUAUACCCGUGGCUGCAGAGCUGUGCUGUGCCUUUGUCCUGCUGUGGGUGUGCAGAGCAAUGGGGUGGGAGACUCUCCGUCCUCUCUGCUUUGUGAAUAAGGAAAUAUUUCUCAGUCCACAGUGUCCACAGGCUGUGGUCCUUCCCAUCAGGGCAGGGAAUGGAUCUUGCUUCUCUGCAUGACAGCCAGCCUGCGGGGAGAGGUGUGUGGGGCCCAGGGACAACUCCUGACCUGCUGCUGUGGGGGAGAUCCACAGAUGGAGGCACGACUUGGAGUGAACACCCAAAGUCCUGGUUAGGACACAGUCCUGGGGUCUGAGUUAGAAGUGAACUAUUUCUUGCCAUUUGGGUGGUGUUUAUGGCAGUACCAGCUCCAAGACAAGCCCAUCACUUCCUGAAGGACUUGCUAAAGCUCAGCAGGAGAUGACAAAGCCCAUAUCAAAGCCAUGGGAGCAGCGACUGCUGCCACACAGGGGACACCUGUAACCUAUGUGCAGUGUUGGGG
ensembl:lncRNA